GUAUUUUUUGUUGAACAAUAAAAAUUUCUUUAUUUUAAACACCAUUUAAGAAAAUCGCUCUAAAAAUAACCCAUUUAAUAUAAUUUCUAUAAAAUUUUACAAAAAGGUGCUAAUCGUCAAAAUCAUACACACACUAAACACAUCUUUCUCUCCUUGUUAAAAAAAAAAAAAAAACCCUUCUCUCUCUCCCUGAUGCGAGUGUUUUGUUGAGCUCUGAGAGAAAAAAGCUCAGAAAUGGCGUCGAAGGGCAAAGGAAUAGCCGACGGUAAAAACUCAUCUGGAAAGAGAAAGCGUCAAGACGACGACAAUGGUGGUAAAUCUACCAAGAAUCGCAGCGUUCUACAGUUCUUCGAAGACGCUGCCGUUGAAGAUGGCAACAGUGACAGCGACAGCUUAAGCGACGAUUUUUUUGAUGAUGAUUUCCUCGCUGAUUUUAAUGUGGACCCUAAAGUCAAAAGUGAGCCUGGAAGAUUUGAUCAGGUCCCUUUUUGGCCUAAAGAGGAAGAGUUGAGCGGGGAUGAACUUGAGAAAAUGUUAGAAGAGCGUUAUAGGAGAGGGUCUGGAUAUGUUAGGUAUGCUGAAGAUGAUUACGAGUCUAAAAGAUCUGUGGACAAGAGUGAAUUUAUGCCAUCUGUGGAACCAACUAUCUGGAAAGUCAAGUGCAAGGUUGGCCGAGAGAAAAAUACUGUAUUCUGCCUGAUACAAAAGUUUGUAGAUUUGAAAGUCUUAGGAACCAAGCUGCAGAUAAUAUCUGCAUUUGCUGUUGAGCACAUCAAAGGGUUUGUAUUUGUUGAAGCAGAAAAGCAGUCUGAUGUUGCCGCGGCAUGUAACCAGCUUGCUGAUGUAUACUUUAGCCUUGUAACACCAGUGCCAUCGAAUGAAGUUGGUCAGCUCUUGGUUGUUAAAAAGAGGUAUCAUGAAGUCAAAGAGGGCACAUGGGCACGGGUAAAGAAUGGAAUCUACAGGGGUGACUUAGCACAGGUGGUGGCUGUCAACAACGAGCGAAAAAAAGCAACAGUGAAGUUGGUCCCAAGAAUUGAUCUACAGGCUCUUACGGUGAAAUAUGGCGGGGGAGCAAAUUCGAAGAGAACAAAAGGCACUGUCCCAGCAGCAAGAUUGAUAAGCUCAAGUGAUCUGGAGGAAUUUCGACCUCUCAUACAAUACAGACGUGAUCGCGACACAGGAAAAAUGUUUGAGUUCCUUGACAGUCUUAUGCUUAAGGAUGGGUUUUUGUAUAAGAAAGUAUCCAUUGACUCCUUGAGCUUUUGGGGUGUUAAUCCCUCAGAAGAUGAGCUACAGAAGUUCACGAUUUCCAGUAAUGAUGAAUCUGAUAAUGUGGAGUGGCUUUCACAACUUUAUGGAGAGCCAAAAAAGAAGCCAAUUGUGAAUUAUGAUAAGGGAGGUGGUAAGGGAGGUGGUAAGGGAGGUGGGAAAGGAGAGGGUUCAUCUGGAUCCCAAGAGGAAUCUAGCUUUGAAGUCCAUGAUCUUGUUCAUUUUGGGAAAAGAGAUUUUGGUAUGGUUGUAGGCAUGGAGAAGGAUGAGAACUACAAGGUACUGAAAGACUGUUUAGAAGGAUCAGUGACGCUAACUCUGGGACAAAAAGAUUUGAAGUAUGUGCCUCAGGAGCAGAAAUUUACAGCUUUAGAUCAUCGUAUGAAGACAAUAUCCAUAAAUGACACUGUCAGAAUUUUAGAGGGACCAGUCAAGGGGCGACAGGGGAUUGUCAAGCAAGUUUACAGGGGGGUCAUUUUUCUGUAUGAUGAAAAUGACUUGGAUAAUGCUUAUUUUUGCACAAAAUCCCAGAUGUCUGAGAAAGUGAAGCAUUCUGCGUGUGUUGGAAAGGAUGAAGGAGGUCCAUCAAGUUUUGAAGAUGUUCCUUCCUCACCUAAAUCACCUUUGUCUCCUAAGAAACCAUGGCAGAGAGGGAAUAAUUCUGACGUGGAUCAGACAGAAAAAGAUGGAAUGUUCUCUGUUGGGCAGUCAUUAAGAAUUAAAACUGGUCCCUUGAAGGGAUAUCUGUGUCGUGUCUUAGCUAUUCGCUAUUCUGACGUCACUGUGAAGCUGGAUUCUAAACAUAAGGUUCUUACAGUUAAACGUGACCAUCUUUCCGAGGUUCGUGGAAAGAGUUCUUUAAUUAGAGAUGAUCCAGAAACAAGUUCUCCGUUCAAACCUUUCGACUUGCUUGGCACUGAAGGCACCACAAACGAUUGGUUACAACCAGCUAGCGGCUCAGCAGAUGGCGAUGGUUGGAAUGUUGGAGGGAUGUCUAGUGAAAGGAGCGCUUGGCCUGCAUUUCCUUCCUCGGGUGCUUCGAUUCAAGCGGGUACUGCAGCUACUGAUCUGCCUUCUUCUGUUGAAGAUACUGCUUGGCUCAGUAAAGUUGCUACCGGCAAUGAAAAAGCUGUUGAUAACAGUGACCAGGUUGGAGGAUGGGGUACAAGUUGUGGUGGUUGGGAGAAAGCAAAAGCCCCUGUUGGUGAUCAUGGAGGCUCGUGGAACGUUGGUGGAUGCAGCUCGAGCCAAGGAAAAGCAGAUAAUGCAACAGACAGUUGGUCCGGUCAAAGUGCUGAGAAGAGCCAGCCUGAUCCUUUGGACAAAGGAAAAUGUAUUGAGGAGCAAGGAGGUUGGAAUAAUAUUGGCUCAGGUAGUGAAUCUGGUACUUCUGGCUGGGGUAAACCGAAAACAUGUACAAAAAGUGUGACUUGGGGUGAAGGCACAGAGUCCAGUAAACAGAGCAUUGGUAAGGCAGGUGGUGUCGAAUGGGCUGAACCAAAACGCUCUAGUAAUCCAGCUGAAGAUACUUGGGGGAAAGUAGCAGAUAGGUGGGGCAAAAAUGAUACAGCAGCUGCAUCAUCUUGGGGAAAUUCUUCGGUAGAGAAUGAUCGAGUAACAAGUAGUUGGGAUAAGGGCAAAAGUUGGAAUGACAACAAAGGGGAUGGCUCCAAAGGGUGGAAUAAGUCCAACGAACCUGAUAAGGAUGGUGGUGGCUGGUCUUUGGAAAAAAGCUCUCCACAAACUGGUUGGAAAGGUGUCUCUUCUGGUUCCUCCAGUUGGGGUAAUUCAAGUCAGAUGUCUGAGGAGAAAGCAUCGGAUGGGUGGAAGAAGGAUGCUACUACGACUUCAGGUGGCUGGGCACAGGGCGGAGAUGUAAGCCAGGGUAAUAGUUGGGGCAAAGAAUAUGGUGGCGAGGGCAGAGAGUCCUGGAGUAAACCAGCAGGAUCAGGUGGGCGAAGCGGAGGCAGAGGUUUCGGUGGAGGCAGUGACCAAUCAGGUAGAGGUGGUGGUGGUAGAUCGGGUGGUGGGAAUUGUUAUAAAUGUGGGGAGUCUGGCCAUAUGGCAAGGGAAUGCCCAUCAGGUGGUAGUAGCGGAGGUGGUGGGAAUUGUUACAAAUGUGGGGAGUUUGGCCAUAUGGCAAGGGAAUGCCCAUCAGGUGGUAGUAGCGGAGGUGGUGGGAAUUGUUACAAAUGUGGGGAGUCUGGGCACAUGGCAAGGGAAUGCCCAUCAGGUGGUGGUGGUGGUGGCGGAGGUGGUGGGAAUUGUUACAAAUGUGGGGAGUCUGGGCACAUGGCAAGGGAAUGCCCAUCAGGUGGUGGUGGUGGUGGCGGAGGUGGUGGGAAUUGUUACAAAUGUGGGGAGUCUGGUCACAUGGCAAGGGAAUGCCCAUCAGGUGGAGGUGGUGGUGGUGGUGGCGGAGGUGGUGGGAAUUGUUACAAAUGUGGGGAGUCUGGUCACAUGGCAAGGGAAUGCCCAUCAGGUGGUGGUGGUGGUGGCGGAGGUGGUGGGAAGUGUUACAAAUGUGGAGAGUCGGGUCACAUGGCAAGGGAAUGCCCAUCAGGUGGUGGUGGCGGAGGUGGUGGGAAGUGUUACAAAUGUGGGGAGUCGGGUCAUAUGGCUAGGGAAUGCCCUUCGGGUGGUGGCGGCGGAGGUGGUGGGAAAUGUUUCAAAUGUGGGGAGUCUGGUCAUAUGGCUAGGGAAUGCCCUUCGGGUGGUGGUGGCGGUGGAGGUGGUGGGAAGUGUUACAAAUGUGGGGAGUCUGGUCAUAUGGCUAGGGAAUGCCCUUCGGGUGGUAGUGGCGGAGGGGGUGGUAAGUGCUACAAAUGCGGGGAGCUAGGUCAUAUGGCGAGGGAAUGCACAUCAGGAGGUGGUGGUGGAAGCUUUGGAUCGUCUUGGGGAGGUGGAGGAAGUGAUAAAUCAAGUGGUGAUGGGACUGAAAAAAAGGGCUGGAGUAUGGGAGGUGGAGGUGGUUCAUCUUGGGGCAGCAGUGGUGGAAGGUACGGAUCUUCUUGGGGAGGUGGGAACAGUGAUAAACUAAGUGGUGAUGUAGCUGAAGAAAAGGGCUGGAGUAAGGCAGGUGGUGGUGGUUCAUCUUGGGGAAACGCUGGUGGAAGGUCCGAAUCAUCUUGGGGAGGUGGGAGCAGUGAAAAACCAAGUGGUGAUGUAGCUGAAGAAAAGGGCUGGAGUACGGCAGGUGGUGGUGGUUCAUCUUGGGGCAACGGUGGUGGAAGGUCCGAAUCAUCUUGGGGAGGUGGGAGCAGUGAAAAACCAAGUGGUGAUGGGGCUAAAGAAAAGGGUUGGAGUACGGCAGGUGCAGGUGGUUCAUCUUGGGGCAAUGGUGGUGGAAGGUCUGGAUCGUCUUGGGGGGGUGGGAGCAGUGAUAAACCAAGUGGUGAUGGGGUUAAAGAAAAGGGAUCAUCUUGGGGAGGUGGGAGUGGCGGUGAUGGGGCUCAAGAAAAGGGGUUGUCUUGGGGAGGUGGGAGCAGUGUAAAACCAAGUGAUGAUGGGGCUAAAGAAAAGGGAUGGAGUACGGCAGGUGCAGGUGGUUCAUCUUGGGGAAAUGGUGGUGGAAGGUCUGGAUCGUCUUGGGGGGGUGGGAGCAGUGAUAAACCCAGUGGUGAUGGGGUUAAAGAAAAGGGAUCAUCUUGGGGAGGUGGGAGUGGUGGUGAUGGGGCUCAAGAAAAGGGGUUGUCUUGGGGAGGUGGGAGCAGUGCAAAACCAAGUGAUGAUGGGGCUCAAGAAAAAGGAUGGAGUAUGGCAGGUGGAGGUGGCUCGUCAUGGGGCAGUGGAAGCAACAACAAAAAAGGUGGCUGGGAUUAAUGCAUCCAGGGCUGCAUGUCAAGCUGGAUCAUCUUGCGGAAACUCAACGUUUGGUCGUAGCAGCGGUGCAGGAGUUGGAGAAAGUUGCGUGAAUAUGUAGUUUACUUCUUUCUGUUUCUACUAACUUUUACCUGGUUUUUUGCUUUGGAAGUCAUUUUGACUGAUUUGUCCUGCAGAAGGUAUGAAGCUGCGUAACUGCUAUAUUUGGGCAAUGUACAUAAUUCAGAACAUUUGCAAAUUGUGUUAACAAGCUACUCUUUAGUCUUUAUUGUCAUCUGGCAUCUUACCAGCUUAACUAAAAUGGACUUUGCUAUAUUAAAGAUUUCAGAUUUUAAUCUUAAAUCUUAUCAAGGCUAUGUCUACAGUGAGAGACGACUACGAGCGAUAUAAUUUCAAGAGCGUGUACUAGUUAAUAGUUAUUGUGGUUGUCGUUGAACAAGGGAACUCUUUUACGUUGUAGUCGUCUCACGCUUGUUCUUUUAUGUCGUUUUUUCGAGGUAGGUACGAUGAUGGGUAUUAUGAAGGUUAAAACGGUCCGGAAAGUGCACGCUCUUUAAGUUACAUGUCUUGUUUUUACCAUUCUCCGUUUAGGCUAUGUUAAUUCACAUUAUUUUUACUGAUUUCAUAUCAGAUUAGAGUUGAUCAUAGGAAAGUCCAGAUCAUAUUAAUUUAGAUUAUACUUAUAUCUGAAAAUUUAAAAUUUUAUUAUUAAUAUUAUUAUUAUUCUUAUUGUUAUGA